rnacentral:rRNA from 1 species
UGCAUACAAAUAAGCGGAGGAAAAGAAACCAACAGGGAUUGCCUCAGUAGCGGCGAGUGAAGCGGCAAAAGCUCAAAUUUGAAAUCUGGCGUCUUUGGCGUCCGAGUUGUAAUUUGAAGAAGGUAUCUUUGGGCCCGGCUCUUGUCUAUGUUCCUUGGAACAGGACGUCACAGAGGGUGAGAAUCCCGUGCGAUGAGAUGGCCCGGGUCUAUGUAAAGUUCCUUCGACGAGUCGAGUUGUUUGGGAAUGCAGCUCUAAGUGGGUGGUAAAUUCCAUCUAAAGCUAAAUAUUGGCGAGAGACCGAUAGCGAACAAGUACAGUGAUGGAAAGAUGAAAAGAACUUUGAAAAGAGAGUGAAAAAGUACGUGAAAUUGUUGAAAGGGAAGGGCUUGAGAUCAGACUUGGUAUUUUGCAAGUUACUCUUUCGGGGGUGGCCUCUGCGGUUUACCGGGCCAGCAUCGGUUUGGAGCGGUAGGAUAAUGGCGGGGGAAUGUGGCACGACUUUGGUUGUGUGUUAUAGCCUCUGACGAUACUGCCAGCCUAGACCGAGGACUGCGGUUUUUACCUAGGAUGUUGGCAUAAUGAUCUUAAGUCGCCCGUCUUGAACCAACGGGACC